CAGUCGCCACGGUAAUAUAGAGGGUGCGAGCGUUAAUCGGAUUUACUGGGCGUAAAGCGUGCGUAGGCGGCUUUUUAGGUCGGAUGUGAAAUCCCUGAGCUUAACUUAGGAAUUGCAUUCGAUACUGGGAAGCUAGAGUAUGGGAGAGGAUGGUAGAAUUCCAGGUGUAGCGGUGAAAUGCGUAGAGAUCUGGAGGAAUACCGAUGGCGAAGGCAGCCAUCUGGCCUAAUACUGACGCUGAGGUACGAAAGCAUGGGGAGCAAACAGGAUUAGAUACCCGCGUAGUCCCUGUCUCUUAUAC
rnacentral:rRNA from 1 species